rnacentral:rRNA from 1 species
GUGCCAGCCGCCGCGGUAAUACGUAGGUGGCAAGCGUUGUCCGGAUUUAUUGGGUUUAAAGGGUGCGUAGGCGGCCCUGUAAGUCAGUUGUGAAAUACGGCAGCUUAACUGUCGAGGUGCAAUUGAUACUGCAGGGCUUGAGUACUGAUGAGGUAGGCGGAAUGGACGGUGUAGCGGUGAAAUGCUUAGAGAUCGUCCAGAACACCGAUAGCGAAGGCAGCUUACUAAGGAGUAACUGACGCUGAGGCACGAAAGUGUGGGGAUCAAACAGGAUUAGAAACCCGCGUAGUCC